rnacentral:lncRNA from 1 species
AUGUUUGAUAAGGUUAAUGUCAAACAGUUACUAGACUUCAUGUUCACAGACAGAUUCAUCUUGCCCUUAAUCUCUAUGUCAUUUUUUAACCAGGUUGCUCUCGCCCUUAUUACAGGACGUAAACUUUUUUUCAUCACGCAGCAGCUGAUGUUGACUGUGUCUCCCUCCAUCACAGAAUAAUGAGGAGUGAAACGAUGCUGUCCUGAUGAAAGACCUGCAAAUAAAUGACGAGAGGCCACAGACAGAGAGGAGCAGCAGCCCAGUCAGAGGCUUCAUCCUUCUACACUGACUCACAUCUGUACACUGCGCAGCCCUCACGCCUCAAACUCAGGCUUCACACAAGCAUCUUUUCUCUCUGUUUCUAAUAGCGGAAGUGUUUAAAGCCGCAAUAUCUGCUCCUCCUUCACAGCUGUCAGAUGGCUCCACAGUGAAGUGGAAGGUGGUAUUUUAAUAAUAAGGAUGUUCAGAGACAUGAUGCAACCUCGUAUCCUAAAAGCUCCAGCAAAGAGGAGCACAUAAACCUCCUGGAGCAGGUCUAACUCUUCAAACCAGCUCAUUGUUGUCACACAUUGUUGUCAUUUAUCCUUCACUGUGACCACAUGCUAGUCAGCCAGCUGUAGCACACUCAAAGCAGCGCUGGCAGGGUGGGACAGGUUAGUGUCAGAACCUUCUCUGAAUGGAGUUUUAAAAAGAUAGUAACCAAAGUAAUGUUUAAUAGUUAGUAAUAGUAACGGCAAUAGUAAUUAGCGAUUAUGUAUGAAUAUCUAUCAGCACAUUAUAAGCAGGGCUGAAGGAUUUUUAAACUCUGGUGGUUUACAAGCAGAGUUUAGAAAUCCUUCAGCCCACAUGUGAUUACUCAGCUAGUGAUUUAAAAUGUUUGCGUUUUUGUCCCAUUUCAUCAGUGAGAAACCACAACAGGCAUCGUGUGAGCUUCCAUGCUGUACAUUUAUUGACACACACGUGUCUUCAGCCAGAUCACUGAGAGUCUGUCAAAGGUCCCCGUCCAGCAGCAGGAGAUGUUUGCUGCCCCCCACUCCGUCACAGAGACGGCAGGAGUCUGAGUGACAACCAGCUUGUCUGGAACUCCUGUAGAAACACAGAUACAUGAUGACAGUUGAGUCGGUCUGUUGAAAUUCUUCCAGAUUUUACAUAUUACAGUUUCCCCAUGGACGCUAAGCAGUUAAAGGUUCCUGAACUCUUGUUUUUUGAGUAUGUUUGUCUUCUGUUAAACCUUAAAUUAUCUUAGCCAUGCGUUGCUCUGUAUACAAGACAUGCAUUAGCUCCUGUCUAUGCCUAGCCUAGCCUUAGCAUCUGUCCAUGUCUAGCCUAACCUUAGCAUCUGUCCAUGUCUAGCCUAGCCUUAGCAUCUGUCCAUGUCUAGCUUAGCCUUAGCAUCUGUCCAUGCCUAGCCUAGCCUUAGCAUCUGUCCAUGUCUAGCUUAGCCUUAGCAUCUGUCCAUGUCUAGCCUAGCCUUUGCAUCUGUCCAUGUCUAGCCUAGCCUCAGCAUCUGUCCAUGUCUAGCCUAACCUUAGCAUCUGUCCAUAUCUAGCUUAGCCUUAGCAUCUGUCCAUGUCUAGCCUAGCCUUAGCAUCUGUCCAUGCCUAGCUUAGCCUUAGCAUCUGUCCAUGUCUAGCCUAGCCUCAGCAUCUGUCCAUGUCUAGCCUAGCCUUAGCAUCUGUCCAUGUCUAGCUUAGCCUUAGCAUCUGUCCAUGUCUAGCCUAGCCUUAACAUCUGUCCAUGUCUAGCUUAGCCUUAGCAUCUGUCCAUGUCAUGCCUAGCUUCAUUUGUUCAUGUCGUGCCUUUGCCUCGUUUGUUCAUGUCGUGCCUUAGCUUGCUAGUUAUUUAGUUUUGUUUAUUCAGUAUACUAUUCACUUAGUGCUUUCGUCCUCCUGGUUUAUCUUAGUUUAUUUUUGAAGGCGUGUUUUGUGUUCAACUUUGGAUUAAAGAGACUGCCUUUUCCAUUACUUUGGUUUCCCUGGCUCUGACUCUGUCCAAAUGGACCUUCGAGCAUUUAAGCCACCAUCUUGUAUGGUGGGUCAUAACAAUAUGAGGUAAAAGACAAUACAAGAGGAAGGAAGAGUUGGGGGCUCAAUAUCUGCCUCGACAUUAAAAAUAUGGUACAAAAGUGUAAAAAACUAACAUUCAAGACAAAAUUAAGUCACUUAGUGUCAGGUUUUGCUCUCGGCUUGACAAAGCAGACCAACAUGCAUGGCACAGAUAUCAAUAGUGUUUUUAUUGUGCACGUUCUCGGUACAGGUAGAGCACAGUCUGGUGACUUACGUACAGAACCUCUUUGAUGAGGAUUAGGCAAAAACGGGGGUCAGACAGGCAAGGUCGGCAACAGUGAAACUCGCAUGUGAGGAAAAGGCGGAGUUGGCGUUGGGUAACAGGCAGUGGUCGAUAACAGGCUCGGCUGAGGUACGGAAGGACUAGGCUAGAGGCAAGGCCAGGAACAGAACUGGUGACUAGACUGGAUCAGGAAGUGCUGGAAAGCGGAACUGAAUCAAUGAUAAUCUGGCAACUGGCAGAGGUGAGGACUGGGUGUUAGAUUCUGGGAAUGAUUACUAAUUGCAGACAGCUGAUGUGGUGAACCGGAAGUAACAUUAGCGCAAGGCAUGGACUGAACAGAAAUGGAAAUGCAACACAAUAAAAUUGGAAAUGAAACCA